CUCGCUCUCUUUUUAAGUAGAACAGUGUUUAGGUUUAGUUUAUCUUCUUUAUACUUAGCAUACUAUGUUCUCUAUUGAUUUUUAAAAUAUAGAUAUUAUUAAUUCUUAGAGUAUAGUUGAUAGUUUUACAAUAUCGGCCUAUUUCCACGAUAGUAAUAGGAUUAUCAUCGACGUCAUGUAAGCCGGACUAUGAUGAAAAUUAAUGAUUUAGUUUAAAAUUCUCGUGCUGUAGGAAAGUCAAAAAAUAGAGAUAUAGAUAAGGAGAUAGAUUGAAAGAGAAAGAGAGAGAGAGAUAGGGAAGGAGGCGGAGGAGGGAUAAAAGAAGAGAGACAGAGAAAGUUAGAUCUGCAGAAAAAGAUCAUAGAAUUAAAUAUGUUUUCGUUUCUCGAUUCCCAAACAGAGGAGAACAUCAGUAGAAAUCACCGAGCAGUUGAAAGGAGAAGGAGGAAUAAGAUGAACUCGUAUCUCAAAGAAUUGUCCUCUAUUGUACCUAUGUGUACAGUCCUUAGCAGUCAAAAUAAGAAAUUAGACAAAUUGACCAUACUGAAACUCACAGCCCAACAUCUAAAGUCAAUUAAAGGUUUAUUAAUAAUAAUUACAAUAGUAAUGGUAUUUAUAGCUGAAUUACAAAUAUAAUAGAUAGGAUUAACGCAUUAAAAAUGACUCUUCUAAUCUUAAACAUAAACUCUAUUUAGGUUGCGAGACUUCUAAAAGAGAAGAAGUUCAAACAUUUUUCUCUUCAAACGAUUUAAGACAUUUCUCCUAUAACAUGAUUGAUGGAUUUUCAAUGGUGAUUGGAUGUAAGAGAGGAGAAAUUUUCUUUGUAUCGAAAUCAGUUGAAACUAUCUUGAAUUAUUCUAAUACAGAACUUGAAGGUCAAAAUUUAUUUGAAUUUCUACAUCCGAAUGAUUUAAAUUUAGUUAAGGAACAAGUCCUACAUCGUGGAAAUUUUCCAAAACCAUUUAAUCCUGAGGAAUCUGUGAAUAAUUUAUCCUGUGAAAAUUGGAACUUAUGGCCAGGCGAUAGGAGAAGCUUCUUUUGCAGAUUCAAAAUAAAUCGAGAGAUUGCCUGCUUAUCUAAUGAGGGCACUUACCAAAUUGUUCAUUGUACAGGUUAUCUCAGAAUAUUUGGUAUAAGCAAUUCUAAUAAUGAAGACGAUGAAAGCUCUAAUAAAAGUUGUCUGCUGAUGGUAGUUAGAAAAAAGGAGUCUGAAGAGACUAAAAACUCAUUAGGCUUCCUUUACCAGUCGCCGCAAUUCUACGUUAAACAGUCUACAAAUGGGAAGUUCACUUUCGCAGAUCUAAGUGUAUUUGAAGUACUCGGCUACCUUCCACAAGAGUUAAUAGGUUCCUCUUACUACGAACUUUGCCACCAAGAUGAUGUACCGAAUCUAACAGAAAUAUACGAACAAGCAUCUUCUAAACCCAAUUCACCUAUAGUUAAGGUACUUAGAAUACGUAAGAGAAGCGGAGAAUAUGUUCACUUGAAGACUAAAACGAUUCGCGUUGAGAAUUCCUAUUCAAAAAUUGUUGAAUUUCUUAUUACAACAAACAGUUUAGCAUCAAUCGAUAACUUUGAAAGUGAUACUUCAACAAUUAACGAGGGUUGCGCAAUAAAUGACAAAAGACACGAAUCAACAAUAGUUGGUUUAGGAUUAGGAUGCGAAAUUGUCGAAAAUAUUACUGGUACAAAGUCCAAUUCUGAAAAUAAAGAUGAAAUCAAUUCUACUUUGGAAAAAGUAAUGGAUUUAGAAGAAAAUGAUACUUACUUUGAUGGAAUCCAAAAUCUAAUGGAUGCCUCCUGGUAAUCCUCUCUUUCGAUACUUUUGAACAUUAAAUAUCCCUUAUAAUACGAGAGUUUUUAAUCUAUUCAACUCAUUUACAAGUAGGCUUUAAUCACAUAUUAAUUGAAUAAUAUAGAAUAAAACUCUAUAUAUAUUGUAUAUAUAUAGUAUAUUAUUAAUGAAGAUAAAAACUUUAUAAAUUCUAUACGAUUAAGUAGAUUAUGA
rnacentral:misc_RNA from 1 species